AUGGCUAGGGGUUUGAAGAAGCAUCUGAAGAGGCUCAAUGCCCCGUCUCAUUGGAUGCUUGACAAGCUUGGUGGAGCUUUUGCCCCCAAGCCAUCAUCCGGUCCUCACAAGGCCAGGGAGUGCCUGCCUCUGAUCCUCAUCCUGAGGAACAGACUGAAAUAUGCUCUCACCUACCGUGAAGUGCAAUCUAUCCUUAUGCAGCGUCAUAUUAUGGUUGAUGGAAAGGUCCGCACUGACAAGACCUACCCUGCUGGUUUCAUGGACAUCAUUUCCAUUCCCAAGACUGGUGAGAACUACAGGCUUCUGUAUGACACCAAGGGUCGCUUCCGCCUUCACUCUGUCAGGGACGAGGAUGCUAAGUUCAAGCUCUGCAAGGUCAGGUCUGUCCAGUUUGGCCAGAAGGGCAUCCCAUACCUCAACACCUAUGAUGGCCGCACCAUCCGCUACCCAGACCCACUCAUCAAGGCCAAUGACACCAUCAAGCUUGACCUGGAGACCAACAAGAUUGUUGACUUCAUCAAGUUUGACGUCGGCAACGUGGUCAUGGUGACUGGUGGGCGCAACACUGGGCGUGUUGGUGUGAUCAAGAACAGGGAGAAGCAUAAGGGAACCUUUGAGACCAUCCACGUUGAGGAUGCCCAGGGCCACCAGUUCGCCACCCGUCUGGGCAACGUGUUCACCAUCGGCAAGGGCACCAAGCCGUGGGUGAGCCUCCCCAAGGGCAAGGGUAUCAAGCUCACCAUCAUUGAGGAGCAGAGGAAGCGGGAUGCCGCUGCCCAGGCUGCUGCCAAGGCCUGA
rnacentral:rRNA from 1 species